rnacentral:rRNA from 1 species
UGAGCAAUCUGCCCUUCUCUUUGGAAUAAGCGUUGGAAACGACGUCUAAUGCCGAAUACGACCUCCUUUCGCAUGAUCGGAGGUGGAAAGCCCCGGCGGAGAAGGAUGAGCUCGCGGCCUAUCAGCUAGUUGGUGUGGGUAAUGGCCCACCAAGGCGACGACGGGUAGCCGGCCUGAGAGGGUGACCGGCCACACUGGGACUGAGACACGGCCCAGACUCCUACGGGAGGCAGC